AGUGAACGCUGGCGGUAGGCCUAACACGUGCAAGUCGAACGGCAGCACAGGAGAGCUUGCUCUCUGGGUGGCGAGUGGCGGACGGGUGAGGAAUACAUCGGAAUCUACCUUUUCGUGGGGGAUAACGUAGGGAAACUUACGCUAAUACCGCAUAAGACCUUCGGGUGAAAGCAGGGGACCUUCGGGCCUUGCGCGGAUAGAUGAGCCGAUGUCGGAUUAGCUUGUUGGCGGGGUAAAAGCCCACCAAGGCGACGAUCCGUAGCUGGUCUGAGAGGAUGAUCAGCCACACUGGAACUGAGACACGGUCCAGACUCCUACGGGAGGCAGCAGUGGGGAAUAUUGGACAAUGGGCGCAAGCCUGAUCCAGCCAUACCGCGUGGGUGAAGAAGGCCUUCGGGUUGUAAAGCCCUUUUGUUGGGAAAGAAAACUUGCGGGCUAAUACCCAGCAAGUCUGACGGUACCCAAAGAAUAAGCACCGGCUAACUUCGUG
rnacentral:rRNA from 1 species